GAUGAACGCUGGCGGCGUGCCUAAUACAUGCAAGUCGAGCGAACGGACGAGAAGCUUGCUUCUCUGAUGUUAGCGGCGGACGGGUGAGUAACACGUGGAUAACCUACCUAUAAGACUGGGAUAACUUCGGGAAACCGGAGCUAAUACCGGAUAAUAUUUUGAACCGCAUGGUUCAAAAGUGAAAGACGGUCUUGCUGUCACUUAUAGAUGGAUCCGCGCUGCAUUAGCUAGUUGGUAAGGUAACGGCUUACCAAGGCAACGAUGCAUAGCCGACCUGAGAGGGUGAUCGGCCACACUGGAACUGAGACACGGUCCAGACUCCAACGGGAGGCAGCAGUAGGGAAUCUUCCGCAAUGGGCGAAAGCCUGACGGAGCAACGCCGCGUGAGUGAUGAAGGUCUUCGGAUCGUAAAACUCUGUUAUUAGGGAAGAACAUAUGUGUAAGUAACUGUGCACAUCUUGACGGUACCUAAUCAGAAAGCCACGGCUAACUACGUGCCAGCAGCCGCGGUAAUACGUAGGUGGCAAGCGUUAUCCGGAAUUAUUGGGCGUAAAGCGCGCGUAGGCGGUUUUUUAAGUCUGAUGUGAAAGCCCACGGCUCAACCGUGGAGGGUCAUUGGAAACUGGAAAACUUGAGUGCAGAAGAGGAAAGUGGAAUUCCAUGUGUAGCGGUGAAAUGCGCAGAGAUAUGGAGGAACACCAGUGGCGAAGGCGACUUUCUGGUCUGUAACUGACGCUGAUGUGCGAAAGCGUGGGGAUCAAACAGGAUUAGAUACCCUGGUAGUCCACGCCGUAAACGAUGAGUGCUAAGUGUUAGGGGGUUUCCGCCCCUUAGUGCUGCAGCUAACGCAUUAAGCACUCCGCCUGGGGAGUACGACCGCAAGGUUGAAACUCAAAGGAAUUGACGGGGACCCGCACAAGCGGUGGAGCAUGUGGUUUAAUUCGAAGCAACGCGAAGAACCUUACCAAAUCUUGACAUCCUUUGACAACUCUAGAGAUAGAGCCUUCCCCUUCGGGGGGGCAAAGUGACAGGUGGUGCAUGGUUGUCGUCAGCUCGUGUCGUGAGAUGUUGGGUUAAGUCCCGCAACGAGCGCAACCCUUAAGCUUAGUUGCCAUCAUUAAGUUGGGCACUCUAAGUUGACUGCCGGUGACAAACCGGAGGAAGGUGGGGAUGACGUCAAAUCAUCAUGCCCCUUAUGAUUUGGGCUACACACGUGCUACAAUGGACAAUACAAAGGGCAGCGAAACCGCGAGGUCAAGCAAAUCCCAUAAAGUUGUUCUCAGUUCGGAUUGUAGUCUGCAACUCGACUACAUGAAGCUGGAAUCGCUAGUAAUCGUAGAUCAGCAUGCUACGGUGAAUACGUUCCCGGGUCU
rnacentral:rRNA from 1 species